GGGAAGGACCUCUGGUUGGAGGUCCCUCCCUUGUGGAUUUCUCCUUGUGAGCCUAGAUCUUCAGAGACAGGGAGGUGGGAUCAGAUGGCCUUUAAGGGUUCCUUUCAGCUCAAAUGAUCAUCAGCAAGAUGGAGGUGAUACAGAAGGAAACUGCCUUUUGCCCCUUCUGAGGGUGCACUUACAAUCUGAGCUGACAAGCUACAGCUGGUGCAGAAAUACUCUGGAUCUUGCUGACUGGCCUCCCCUGACUCAGCAUUGGAACUAAGGGCAAGUUGAGUCAACUUUUUAAAAGAGCCAGAGCAAAGUGUGUGUCUUUUGUGGUCUGAAGUUGUAAGGAAGGAGAAACAUAUCUUGUAAUAGAGAUCUGCUUGGCUGUCCUGUGACAAUGAAUUUAAAAAGAAAGAUUGCUUGGUCCAAUCAAGCAAGAAAUCUUCUGCAUUUUCCCAGAAUGUUUUUUUCAUGACUUGGUUAGCCCUACAAUUAACCCCAGGCCAAGCAUCAGAAGCUCUGUUCACUAGAGGAGGAGGAACGUGGGAUAUUGCUUAUUUGAUUCUCAGAGAGAAAAAAGGCCAAGUGACAGAUGUGCUGAAAUGAGCAUCCUGCUUUUAGAUUUAAGGGAAUGAUGGUGCAAUGGGGUAGGCCUGAACCAGACCAUCAGAAGUUGCGGGCAAGUUAGAGGAAAACAACAAUGAAAAAAAGUUAGCAGAAAACUGUUUUCCAUCACAGAGGAUGUCAGAAAGAGGAAGAUGAAGGAUAAGUUUUGAAGCAGAAGUAGUUCUGUGUUGGAAGCAGGAACUAUCAGGCACAGCUUGCAGCAUCUGGUCCAUGCCUGUAUUUUAAUUGCAGCCAAUGGUAUUUUAAGCAGGUUGAUAUAGAUAUAAUCAAGACUGUGAUCUGGCAAUGUGCAUGUUUGCUGUAUGGAAGGCAAUCCAACUCUUGUGCUGUGUGUCAGGGGAAUAACUGGCUCCAUCAAGUAGAACAUCCUCCAAGAAUCAUUGCUGCUUUGACCUUCAUGGGUCAUUGCUCAUCAGUUAGGACUUAGUAAGGUUUUAAGAACAUGAGAAUUUUUAAGGUAACCUGCUUCUGAAAAGGCAGUAGCAACAAAAAAAGCCGAAGAUGUGCGAUUCUCUCUACAGCGCUGGAAAUGCAGAUUUCAGCUGGGGCAGCCUCUGGCAUGAGAUGUGCUAAACAGGGCCAAAGGGGAAACGGGUCAUGCUGUGUGAAAGGAAACACACAGUAGAAGCAAUGUAUACUGCACUUGAUUUUGAGUAUUUCUAGGCCAGAAAGCUAAGGCAUGAGUAGCAGUCCAACCCAAUGCAGAGCUAAACGGGUGCUUUAUGGUUGUGGCAUCCUUUCCAACACCAAGCAACCUCAUCGUGCUGCUUGCUGGAACUCCACUGCUGAGAGCUGUGUGACAUUUCUUGUUUACUCCUUACACAGAUGCUAAUGUCAGUACAAUGCUUACUUUGAGGUUGCAACAAAUGGUAGAUCUCUUAAGCCUUCUUAUGUUAUGCAUGGGGUUUUUGGGGGAGAUGUUGGUCAAAAUUCUUCAGAGCAGCACAUUUAGGAAAAAGGUGAAAACCUUAUUUGACUCAUCCCUUCCACCCUGUUUCUGUGAAUCAACCUCAUCUGAGCACUGAGUUAAUUAAGCAGACACAGCUGGUCUGGCUCACAGUGCCACUGGUGGGUACUUCAAAUGGCAGUAAUUUCUAUAGGGGGAAAAAGGGAUGCUGAAUUUUGCUGAAUAGGCACCAUUUCUGCCAGCCCACCUGAUCCCAGCAUCAUCGUCUCUAAGAAGCUUGUGCUAGAGGAUUUGGCAAAUGGACACUCAGUUGUACACUGCACUAAAGGACAACCUGUGGUCACUGAAAUCCUCCUCAGGGACAAAUUCUCACUGCUCCAAGGUCUGUGGCUGCUUUGAAAGUGUUCACCCACAGAGAAGAUGCAGUGGUUUCAGCUGCACUGGAUUACUGACAUGCAAGGGGCACUGCUGUGGUUUGCUCCACAUACUUCAAAGCCUGGCAAAUGUUUCUCCUUCACCUGCUUUAUAGAUCCUGGGAAGAAUGGGGAGAUCUAAGCUAGGAUGCAUGUGUGCUUUGGUCUGAGAUCUGAAUGUUUGUUCAAAUGCAGUUUGAGCUGAAUGCUCUCCUCACUGUCCACACUGCAGAUGACAAAGGUUACAUGUGCAACCCUCUCAUCAGCAAUGAACAGAGAAACAUUGGAGGCAUAACCCUUGGAUGCCUUAACCAUCACUCUUAUGUUCCAUCUUAUAUGUAUGUGCUUGGUGUGAAGAGAUUCUUUGUUGUCUUUGCCUCAUCCCUCACCCUCCAGAUAUUCAGUUUUGGAUGCAAAUGGUGGAUCAAAAUUAUAGACUCCUUAAGGUUAGAAAAGGCUUUUAAGAUCAUCUAGUCCAACAGUCCACCUAUCACAAUUACUGCCUACUAACCAUGUCCCUGAAUACACCACAACAUGCUUUGAGCACCUGCAAGUGACAGUGGCUCGGCCACCUUCCUGGGCAGACUGUUCCAGUCCCCAGAUACCAUUCCAGCAACUAUCCUUCCCAGAGCAAAGAUGGCAACACAGUUAACAGUAGAAGCAAGCAUGUGGGAGUAUUGCAGCCUUAGGCACUAGGCUAUCCUCUUUUCCUCCUUAAAACUAAUUGCUAACAGAGAAGAAAAGAAGGAAGGUAGCAGCACAGCCAGCGCUGAGUAACUCUGCUUUUCCCAUCUCAUUUAAACACCAUCUCAUUUAAACACUUUCCUAUUACUUACUUUCACAUCAAUUUUGCUGACUAAUUACAAAUGAUGUGAUCAAGGCCUCUUA